GAACUCUAAUGGUUACCUUGUUUUCUACUUCUUUUCCAAGAUCAUGACUGAGAGAUUGUUAAUAAAAGCAUUGAGUGGUGGUAAAAAUACGAAGAUCAUUACUUUGAAUGGGAAGAAGAUGACAAAGAUGCCCUCAGCAUUAGGAAAACUGCCUGGCCUGAAGACUCUAGUCCUUCAGAAUAACCUAAUCCCCAAAGUGUGUCCAGAGUUAUGCAACUUGACCCAGGCCGGGUGCGGUGGCUCAUGCCUGUAAUCCCAGCACUUUGGGAGGCUGAGGCAGGCGGAUCACUUGAAACCAGGAGUUCGAGACCAGCCUGGCCAACAUGGCAAAAAUCCCAUCUCUACUAAAAAUGCAAAAAAAAAAAAAAAAAAAAAAAAAAAAAAAAAAAAAAAAAAAGCCAGGCGUGGUGGCACAUACCUACUACUUGGGAAGCUGAAUGAGAAUCACUUCAACCCAGGAGGCAGAGGUUGCAGUGAGCCGAGAUCAUGCCAAUGCACGCCAGCCUGGGUGACAGAGUGAGACUGUCUCAAAAGGAAAAAAAAAUUCUUCUAAUUAUGGCUUACAAAAUUUAAUCCUGCUUAAUCUGAACAACAAUCAUCUUACGCAGCUUCCUCAAGAAGUCAGCAGAGUCUGGCCCUACUCACCCAGGCUGGAGUGCAAUGGCAUGAUCUCGGCUCACUGCAACCUCCGCCUUCCAGGUUCAAAUGAUUCUCCUGCCUCAGCCUCCCGAGUAGCUGGUAUUACAGGAGUAAAACAGAAAUUUAUUUCUCAUAGUUCUGGAAGUUGGGAAGUGAAGACCAAGGUGCUGGCAGAUGUGAUGUCUGAUUAAAAAGUCUUACUUAUAUGAGUAUAAAUUAUAACCAACUAGCCAGCAUUCCUAGAGAACUUUGUUUUCUUGAGAAUCUUGUUGAACUUCAACUUAACUACAAUCAGCUGAUAUGCAUACCUGAAGAGAUUAAAUUCUUGAAGAAGCUUCAGAAGCUUUUGCUAGCCAGAAACAACAUUGGAGUUUUGCCGGAGGAACUUUGUGAUCUUAAAAAACUAAGAAUCCUAGACAUAGCUGGAAAUAUUAUUCAGAUAUUUCCAUCAGGAUUUCAGGAUCUGAAGCUGAGGGAAUUCUACUGUGAGGGAAACCCACUGUUCCUGCAGCAGCCAGUGAUUUCUACACAGCAGGAGAACGUCUGGAGUCUACAGGAAAUAACAUCAAGAUUUGUAAUGAAUCAGCUAGCAGAAAAUAACCCUUUCCUAAUGGAUGACAUAGAACGGUACCCACAAGUCAGGAGCAUGAUCUCUCAGGGAAAAACAUGUGCAAUAUGUGGACAGUACUUUAUAACCGUAUGGCUGGAAUGUGUUCGAUUUGUUCCUCCACCAAAGAAACUACAACCUAAUACAAGCAACAACAGCCAGAAUUUAUUUGGUACUGAGUGUGCAUCUGGUGCUCUGCUAAAUAUGUCACCUGGAAUACCUCAAUUAAUGUCCAAAAUAACCCCAUGACACCAGUAAGAAAUCCAAGGACUGGAAGAUAAGCAAGAAUCUGAAGCUGGUGCCUCUCCAAGUAUUAAUUUGUUCUUACAAAUGUUUUACUCAACGUGACCCUAACCUCUUUGGAAUUGCUCAGGUGUAGAACAGGUGAGGUGCUCAUUCAUAGCCUCACUCCACUUGCCCUGUCAGCUCUGCAUACACAGAUUAUGCCCUACUUAAGAUACCAUGCCUGUUCUCUUUGUCAACACAUUAAAUAAAGGAAGAAAAAUAAUUCCAUUAUAACGUUCCCAAUCUAAGCACUACAAUCUGCCUUCAGCUUGCUUAGAUUCUAGGUGUGCUUUUUUUGGCUUAAAAAAGUACAAAAAAAAAUUGAAAAAUAAAGAUUUGUGUGGCAAGUGA